rnacentral:lncRNA from 10 species
CAAGAACAUGCAUUGGAGAAAGACAGUCUCUUCAUUGGAUGGCACUUAUCUGCCAAAAUAAGAAUGAUAUCUAGCAAAUACAAACCAUCAAAAUGGACUCAAGCCCUGUGUUUUUCCACAAAAAAAAACAGCAGGAAAAAAUUAUUAGAGGAUAUGAAGCAAAAUGGAUUUACAUAACCAAAGGGUAUGAAGAUAAGCUCCUUAAGGAUCUCUUUUUCAAACCUGAAACUAAUAUAAAAGGAAAGCUUGCAUAUUGGAAACAUGUCCUCUUGUGGUCCACAAUAGUUUCACCAGAUCCAGUCAUUAUGCUUUCAUUCUAACCUGCCAGAAAGAAGAGGAAAUAAAGAAGAAGAGGUCACAGCUAUUGUGUUUACUUUUGGAAAGUUCCUAGAAGCUGCCAUGCAACACUCUGCUUAUAUCUGGAUAAAAAAAAAUUAUGGGUCAAUUUUCACUGAAGUGGGCUGGAUGUGUGUAUUCAUCUCUCAUCAGUGCCAAAAGGAAUUAUGCACAUC